UGUGCUGCCCACGCCGCGGCCUGCGGCUCCUCUCGGGGGGCGGGCCGGGGCGGAUCCAGACACCUAGCACUUUGCCGGGGCAUCCCUCACGCAUUUUUAAAACCUUGUUGGCUCCUUUUUUAUUUUGACGCAGCCACUUGAAGCUCUCUGUCAGCCUGCUAGAUCCCACUCACCUCGGGUGCUGGGUCGCAAAAACAAAAGAACCUUCAUGCAAGUCCGUUAUGGUCCUAUUCUAUGAACUGCAGUUCAUUUUGACAAAUGGGUGCUCAGCCUCUUGUGAGGACAUCACUGAGAAAUCACACUCAAGGAAAGCUGUUUAAUAUACUACUGUGUUGUCUCUGGACGUCAAAGAAAACGUUGCGGGAUCCUUAAAAUGACUGUGCAUUCCAGACUAUGAAUUCUUCUAAUCGUG
rnacentral:lncRNA from 1 species